rnacentral:rRNA from 1 species
GCAAGUCGAGGGGUAACGAUAGUGCUUGCACUAGGCGACGACCGGCGCACGGGUGAGUAACGCGUAUGCAACCUACCUUUAACUGGAGAAUAGCUUCGAGAAAUCGGAAUUAAUGCUCCAUAAUAUCUACGAAUCGCAUGGUUUGUAGAUUAAAGCUCCGGCGGUUAAAGAUGGGCAUGCGUGACAUUAGUUUGUUGGUGAGGUAACGGCUCACCAAGACUACGAUGUCUAGGGGUUCUGAGAGGAUGGUC